rnacentral:rRNA from 1 species
UACGAAGGGUGCAAGCGUUGUUCGGAAUUACUGGGCGUAAAGCGUGCGUAGGCGGUUUGAUAAGUUGGAAGUGAAAUCCCGAGGCUUAACUUCGGAAUUGCUUUCAAAACUAUCAAUCUAGAAUAUGGCAGGGGACAGUGGAAUUCCUAGUGUAGAGGUGAAAUUCGUAGAUAUUAGGAGGAACACCAGUGGCGAAAGCGACUGUCUGGACCAUUAUUGACGCUGAGGCACGAAAGCGUGGGGAGCAAACAGG